GUCAGAGAACAUAGAAUAUGUUCAUCCCUGUACAAGAAGAGUGAGCUAGAAUAAAUGCAGAAACCUAUCAAACAGAGAAAGUCAGGACAUAGAUGGAAAGGGUACUUCAUCCAGGUGAAGUCACCACCCCCAUCCUCUCUCCUAGGGUGGCUAAGAGACCUGGGACAAUGGAGGCUAAGAGACCUGGGACAAUGGAGGGGAGAAGAAAAUGAAUGAGGCACACCUGGUGAAGUGAAAUUAAACCCUGUAUUUAAAACAACAACAACAACAACAAAACCUGUGUGGUCCAGACAUAGGAGUGGCUUCUGCUUAUGGAGAAGGGGGGGCACUCUGUAAGAAUCUUAAAGCAUUAAAGGUCAGGCAUGGGGAGGCUAGGGGGAAGGCCUACCAAAUGCCUUAAAGCCUU